UACGGAGGGUGCAAGCGUUAUCCGGAUUCACUGGGUUUAAAGGGUGCGUAGGCGGGUGUGUAAGUCCGUGGUGAAAUCUCUGAGCUUAACUCGGAAACUGCCAUGGGUACUGCAUAUCUUGAAUGUUGUGGAGGUGAGCGGAAUAUGUCAUGUAGCGGUGAAAUGCUUAGAUAUGACAUAGAACACCGAUUGCGAAGGCAGCUCACUACACAAAUAUUGACGCUGAGGCACGAAAGCGUGGGG
rnacentral:rRNA from 1 species